GGUCCCUCAAGAGCACAGGGACAGUGUUUAAAUGAGCUAUGGCUGCCCUGGCAUCAGAGAUUCCCCUCUGAGGCUGUUCUCCUAUCUUUCGGCCAUGUUGCUCCGUGGUGUGUUCUCCCACCUCUGGCCUCUGCAUGCACGGUCCAGCAGUCCGCCCAAGAUUCACUCUCUUGAAAUUCAGAUUGAAUGUAGGCUUACCCUAAGGGCCUUGCUAUAAUCUUCAGUACCUCUGAAAAGCUCUGUCUGUCAGGGCUGCAUUCUGGGGCACAGAAAUUAGAACAUCAACAAUUUUAGGAAGAAACUAUCAACCAAUAGCAACCAGCAUAUCACAUGUUGCCAACUCUCACUCACUCUGUUCAUUUGUUUCUUAGUGGCCAGUGGUAAAGAUGGCCAGAAAGGAAGCAGGAAGUCUGAUUGACUUCUCUGUUCAGGUCAGAUCUGACCGUAAAGAAUAUUCUUACUCUACUUCCUAUUUUUAUUAUUUUGUCCUUUUGGGACAUUUACUGGAGCCGCUUUUUUCCGACCUUACUUGAUUUGCCAGAUGGAGAUGUACCUGUCUCCGUCCCUCUGCAGGGGCUACCGACUCACAGCAUGAUUCAGUAGACAAUGAAUGCUGUCACUGUGUGAGGGUGCCGGCCAGCUGAUGAUGCUGGGGGUGAGCCUACUGUGCGAAGCUGGGCUCAUCUGUUCAGACCUGAAGACAGGUAAUGGAAGGCAGGCCUCAUGGACACCUUUGGUCCAGCCAUCUCCAGCCUGUGUCUUCUUCCAUGCAUAUCUAGGAGGGGCCCUUAAAUCUGGCUCUCUGUCUAGAUGUCACCGUGAUCACAAGAACAAGUCCCGUUUGCAGAAGAAGAGUCAUGAAAACACUCUAGCCCUGGGUCUAGGUCACCAGUUUCUGUCAGAGUGACCCAGGUCACUGUGGUGAGUUCUGGAAUUAGGGUCAUAUAAUCACACGAGCUGUUGCAGAGGAUGCUCCAGAUGUGGUGGGCUGCGUGGCCAGGGUAGGUGGAAGAUGUCCUGUCCUAGAAGAAGAGGAGGGAAGGCAUGAGUCUGGCAGAAGGGCUCACAUAGCUGACACACUCUCAUUUCUUUCACAGAGGAUCAUGCUGGUUGCAGGUUUAAAAUUGGAGCUUAGAAUGCUUUCAUUUCCCCGUGAUUUUAAUAAUUCAUUGAAUUAAACAGAAAUAAGCAUCCCCACUUUGUGGCUUGCUGCUAGGCUAAAAGUUUUUUAUUUCAAAGUUUUUCACGAAU
rnacentral:lncRNA from 1 species